rnacentral:sRNA from 1 species
CGAGUUGAAACCCCCUGGUUAGUGGAUAAUUCACUGGUGGACUUAAGUGCCAUAAGAUUGCCAAGGGAUUGCUAGAGAACCCUUUUUACAGGGAGCUGCUAUUUGCUUCAGCAGGCAGAAUGCGUAGGUGGAGUGAGUUUGGUGGCAGUGAGAGGGGCCAACAGAGGUCCUCAGGAGUGAAUUAGAUGAAGGAAAUUGAGCAUCCACAAAAAGGAAAGGCAAAAACAUGCUAACUGACAAGAAAAUCAUGGGUUUUAAACAAGGAUAACAAGUGCUGGGUUGCUUAGCUAUGAGGAAGGCUAGGCUCACUGCAUACCAGAAGAUGUACAGCGUUGGAGAAUGCAGGGAUUUUUAUCAACUAUCAAACUAUAUUUGUGGAAAUUUUGUGCAUAAGUGCCAAAGAUGGCUGACAUCGGACCACAUUCUAUUUAACUCAACUGAAUGACACCAAGCUCUCAUCCUAAAACUUAUAGUUACAUCCACCCUUCUGAAAUAUUUAAUUAUUCUCCAAUACACUGGAGGUAAUAGGUAUAAAAAGAAUGCGCAUGUGCAA